GUGGGGAAUCUUGCGCAAUGCGCGAAAGCGUGACGCAGCAACGCCGCGUGUGGGAAGACGGCCUUCGGGUUGUAAACCACUUUCAGGAGGGACGAAGGGUCGGCCGCGAAUAGCGAGCCGGCUUGACGGUACCUUCAGAAGAAGCUCCGGCUAACUACGUGCCAGCAGCCGCGGUAAUACGUAGGGAGCAAGCGUUGUCCGGAAUCAUUGGGCGUAAAGCGCGCGUAGGCGGCUCGAUCAGUCUGUUGUGAAAGUCAAAGGCUCAACCUUUGAAUGCCGAUGGAUACUGUCGAGCUAGAGUCCGGAAGAGGCGGGUGGAAUUCCUGGUGUAGCGGUGGAAUGCGCAGAUAUCAGGAGGAACACCAACGGCGAAGGCAGCCCGCUGGGACGGUACUGACGCUAAGGCGCGAAAGCGUGGGGAGCGAACAGGAUUAGAAACCCCUGUAGUCC
rnacentral:rRNA from 1 species